AACGAACGCUGGCGGCAUGCCUAACACAUGCAAGUCGAACGAAGUCUUCGGACUUAGUGGCGCACGGGUGCGUAACGCGUGGGAAUCUGCCCUUGGGUACGGAAUAACUCAGAGAAAUUUGUGCUAAUACCGUAUGAUGACGUAAGUCCAAAGAUUUAUCGCCCAGGGAUGAGCCCGCGUAGGAUUAGCUAGUUGGUGAGGUAAAGGCUCACCAAGGCGACGAUCCUUAGCUGGUCUGAGAGGAUGAUCAGCCACACUGGGACUGAGACACGGCCCAGACUCCUACGGGAGGCAGCAGUGGGGAAUAUUGGACAAUGGGCGAAAGCCUGAUCCAGCAAUGCCGCGUGAGUGAUGAAGGCCCUAGGGUUGUAAAGCUCUUUUACCCGGGAAGAUAAUGACUGUACCGGGAGAAUAAGCCCCGGCUAACUCCGUGCCAGCCGCCGCCGUAA
rnacentral:rRNA from 1 species